UAUAGUUUUAGUACAAUAGUACCUAUACCUACUUUAACAUUCCGAACUUAGAAUCAAUAUUUCUACUUAGUCGCGGGGAAGUUACAUUAUGAAAUAAGUUUUCAUCCCAAAAUGUAAUCAUUAUAAUUGAACUAUUUAUAAUGGUAUGAAUAUAGAAUUUCCAUUGUACAAUUCAGCGCGUCACUGUAUUUGUACAGGGUGCUUGCUUUAUUACGACCAGCGAUUUGCUGGUGUUUUACUUCAAGUGACAA